rnacentral:rRNA from 1 species
UACGUAGGGCGCGAGCGUUGUCCGGAAUUAUUGGGCGUAAAGAGCUCGUAGGCGGCCGGUUGCGUCUGCUGUGAAAUCCCGGGGCUUAACCCCGGGCGUGCAGUGGAUACGGGCCGGCUGGAGGCAGGCAGGGGAGAAUGGAAUUCCCGGUGUAGCGGUGAAAUGCGCAGAUAUCAGGAGGAACACCGGUGGCGAAGGCGGAUCUCUGGGCCAUUACUGACGCUGAGGAGCGAAAGCGUGGGGAGCGAACAGG